AGUAUCAUAACCAAUGAAGUUAUUCUGAGGUGUGAUUAUUGCUAGUUGAAAACUUUAAUCUAAA
ensembl:snRNA U4 U4 spliceosomal RNA